rnacentral:misc_RNA from 1 species
GGACUACGAGGGUUUCUAAUCCUGUUCGCUCCCCACGCUUUCGCUUCUCAGUGUCAGUAUCGGCCCAGAGACCCGCCUUCGCCACCGGUGUUCCUCCUGAUAUCUGCGCAUUCCACCGCUACACCAGGAAUUCCAGUCUCCCCUGCCGAACUCUAGCUCGCCCGUAUCGGAAGCAGGCCCGCGGUUAAGCCGCGGGUUUUCACUCCCGACGCAACGAGCCACCUACAAGCUCUUUACGCCCAAUAAUUCCGGACAACGCUCGCACCCUACGUAUUACCGCGGCGGCUGACAC